rnacentral:tRNA from 1 species
GAGGGUAUAGCUCAAAUGGUAGAGCACAUGCUUAGCAUGCAUGAGGUCCUGGGUUUAAUCCUCAGUACCACCA